rnacentral:rRNA from 1 species
UACGAAGGGGGCUAGCGUUGUUCGGAAUCACUGGGCGUAAAGCGCACGUAGGCGGAUAUGUCAGUCAGGGGUGAAAUCCCGGGGCUCAACCUCGGAACUGCCUUUGAUACAGCAUGUCUUGAGUCCGAUAGAGGUGGGUGGAAUUCCUAGUGUAGAGGUGAAAUUCGUAGAUAUUAGGAAGAACACCGGUGGCGAAGGCGGCCCACUGGAUCGGUACUGACGCUGAGGUGCGAAAGCGUGGGGAGCAAACAGG